rnacentral:rRNA from 1 species
GAUGAACGCUGGCGGCGUGCCUAAUACAUGCAAGUCGAGCGAACAGAUGAGGAGCUUGCUCCUCUGACGUUAGCGGCGGACGGGUGAGUAACACGUGGAUAACCUACCUAUAAGACUGGGAUAACUUCGGGAAACCGGAGCUAAUACCGGAUAAUAUAUUGAACCGCAUGGUUCAAUAGUGAAAGACGGUUUUGCUGUCACUUAUAGAUGGAUCCGCGCCGCAUUAGCUAGUUGGUAAGGUAACGGCUUACCAAGGCAACGAUGCGUAGCCGACCUGAGAGGGUGAUCGGGCACAAUGGAACUGAGACACGGUCCAGACACCGACGGGAGGCAGCAGUAGGGAAUCUUCCGAAAUGGGCGAAAGCCUGACGGAGCAACGCCGCGUGAGUGAUGAAGGUCUUCGGAUAGUAAAACUCUGUGAGUAGGGAAGAAAAAAUGUGUAAGUAACUAUGCACGUCUUGACGGUACCUAAGCAGAAAGCCACGGCUAACUACGUG